GGAAGGCUCAGACAGCUAGGAGGUUGGCUUAGAAGCAGCCACCCUUUAAAGAAAGCGUAAUAGCUCACUAGUCGAGUCGGCCUGCGCGGAAGAUGUAACGGGGCUCAAACUGGAUACCGAAGCUGCGGCAGCAGACUUGUUCUGCUGGGUAGGGGAGCGUUGUGUAAGCCUGUGAAGGUGUGUUGAGAAGCAUGCUGGAGGUAUCACAAGUGCGAAUGCUGACGUGAGUAACGAUAAUGCGGGUGAAAAACCCGCACGCCGAAAGACCAAGGUUUCCUGCGCAACGCUAAUCGGCGCAGGGUGAGUCGGCCCCUAAGGCGAGGCAGAAAUGCGUAGCUGAUGGGAAACGGGUUAAUAUUCCCGUACUUCUUAUAACUGCGAUGGAGAGACGGAGAAGGCUAUGCCUACCGGGCGUUGGUUGUCCCGGGGAAAGGCUGUAGGCUGAGGUGUUAGGCAAAUCCGGCACCUUAAGGCUGAGAGUCGAGACCACUGGUCCUUUGUGACCGGGAAGUGGUUGAUGCCAUGCUUCCAGGAAAAUCUUCUAAGCUUCAGGUUAUAAGGAACCGUACCCCAAACCGACACAGGUGGUUGGGAUGAGUAUUCUAAGGCGCUUGAGAGAACUCGGGUGAAGGAACUAGGCAAAGUGGUACCGUAACUUCGGGAGAAGGUACGCCGCUGACGGUGAUGGGAUUUACUCCCUAAGCUAUCGGCGGUCGCAGUGAAAAGGCCCCUGCAACUGUUUAUUAAAAACACAGCACUCUGCAAACGCGUAAGCGGACGUAUAGGGUGUGACGCCUGCCCGGUGCCGGAAGGUUAAUUGAUGGGGUUAGCUUCGGCGAAGCUCUUGAUCGAAGCCCCGGUAAACGGCGGCCGUAACUAUAACGGUCCUAAGGUAGCGAAAUUCCUUGUCGGGUAAGUUCCGACCUGCACGAAUGGCGUAAUGAUGGGGGCGCUGUCUCCACCCGAGACUCAGUGAAAUCGAAAUCGCAGUGAAGAUGCUGUGUACCCGCGGCUAGACGGAAAGACCCCGUGAACCUUUACUAUAGCUUCACAGUGGACUUUGAACCUGUUUGUGUAGGAUAGCUGGGAGACUUUGAAGCAGUGACGCUAGUCAUUGUGGAGUCGUCCUUGAAAUACCAGCCUGGCAUGUUUGAGGUUCUAACCUGGGUCCCUUAUCGGGAUCGGGGACAUUGUGUGGUGGGUAGUUUGACUGGGGCGGUCUCCUCCCAAAGAGUAACGGAGGAGCACAAAGGUACCCUCAGCACGGUCGGACAUCGUGCAACGAGCGUAAAGGUAGAAGGGUGCUUGACUGCGAGACCUACAAGUCGAGCAGGUGCGAAAGCAGGUCUUAGUGAUCCGGUGGUUCUGUAUGGAAGGGCCAUCGCUCAACGGAUAAAAGGUACUCCGGGGAUAACAGGCUGAUACCGCCCAAGAGUUCAUAUCGACGGCGGUGUUUGGCACCUCGAUGUCGGCUCAUCUCAUCCUGGGGCUGAAGCCGGUCCCAAGGGUAUGGCUGUUCGCCAUUUAAAGAGGUACGCGAGCUGGGUUUAGAACGUCGUGAGACAGUUCGGUCCCUAUCUGCCGUGGGCGUUGGAGAUUUGAGAGGAGCUGCUCCUAGUACGAGAGGACCGGAGUGGACGAACCUCUGGUGUUCCGGUUGUCACGCCAGUGGCAUUGCCGGGUAGCUACGUUCG
rnacentral:rRNA from 1 species